GAUUGCAGCUCCAGCUGAUGUAUGACUGCAAUCACGUGAGAGAUCCUGGGCCGGAACUGCCCUACUGAGUCCUUCUCAAGUUCCUGACCAACAGAAACUGACUGAAAAUAAAUAGACUAAUCUUCCUCAGAUACCAUCUCAUCACAUACUUCCCAUGCUUCACACCUCUGGUGGGAUGUUGCUUCUCAGAAGUUAAAGUGUAGAUCGUUUGCUUGGUUUUUGCCUCGGCUUCUGUCUUCUGUCAGCUCCCAUUGGCUGAACCCAACGAGAAGUCAGAGAAAAAAGAGCAGGAUCCGAGGAGUGAAUGAAGAUAUGGAACCCAGCGUGACCAGUAGGACACAGGCAGCCCUGAUACUGGAAAGAAACCUUCCACCAAAAACAAGAGACUGGCUAGCUUCCUGAAGGAAGAGGAACUAGGAACAAUCGUGGCUCCAGCCCCUGUUGUGAUUCUUCUACCUUGCUGAUCUAACUGCCUCAGCAUGCUGUGUGAUUUAGCUUACUUGACAGUGCUGUCUCCCUCUCCACACCCAGGAAGAUGCCGUAUCUGCUCCAUCGCCCACCGUGCGCCUGCCCAGCCCUAGCUCUGAACCGGGUACUCAGUGGGCAUUGGUCACACACAUGUGGAGCAAGGGAAGGCAACUGUGCUCUCUCAUCAGACUAUGAAAGGGAGUAAACCAUGACUGGAUGCUCCAGGGAUGUCUGUGGGACCUGAAACUUAAGACAAUUUGAAG
ensembl:lncRNA